rnacentral:lncRNA from 1 species
CGACAUCUGAUCCCCUCUUCUCUCAAAAGCUCUUAAGUCUUAACCCUAACUCACCCUCAUCACCGUUCCUCUUCCACCGUUCAUGGUCUUUCUCCACCACCAUCAGACCUCUAAUGGCCUCUCAUAUGUUGGUAUUGUCAUCCCUAAGGUCCUCGAGGGACCAAGGUCAGUUCACUUGCAUCUAUGGCCUUUUCUCACCUAUUUCAGGAUUUUCCGGUUCAAUUUCAAGUAAGAUCUUCCUAUGUUGCCUUAGAUCUAUGGAUUCCUAAGCCUACUUCUUCAUCUUUGUGCUUUUUUUCUCGAAAACCUUAUUUCUUCCUUCUGAACUUCUUUGAUCUGUACAGAUCUAAGAUGGUUUGGACCUAUUUCACAUGAAUUUUACAAGAACCGUCUGAUUUUCGAAUUAUUUUCCAUUUUUUUAAACUAAGGUUUCCCUAAUAUUUCCUUCUCCAAAAUGUUUGAUGAUUUUUGUGUUUAAUCUUCUAUUCCUUAUGCGUUUUAACUGAUUUCAUAUAGGUUUGCAUUAACCCUAACUAGUUUAUGCUAAAAACCCCAAAUUGUUUCGACAUUUUGUCUAGUUUCUGAGUUACUUGUGUACUGACUUUGGC